CCCAACAAGCUUUCUGGCGCCGUUGCCGGGGAACGGUAGCUGUGCUAGUUUCGAACCACGUCGCCCGUAUAUCCUUUUUCUUUUCUUUUUUUACCACACUCACCUUAUCAUUUUCACCGUACCACAUGGAUUUCACUCUAAGCAUUAAUGAGCAUGGAAUUUAUUUCAUAGCCACUCCAUUUACUCCAUGCUCAUAUGCAACAUCUUCACAAUCCAUUGGUCUCUCCGACAUCACCACAUUCGAGAUCUCCAACCCCCUCUUCCUUUCUAUUUAUAAAAACUUUAAAAGGGCGGUUGUCGAUGCAUAUGUCUAUAAUAAAUUUUGCAGAUCUCGUUGAGUUCAUCUUGAUAUAGGUCAGCGUAGGAGGGGAAACCGCUUCGCCGACAUAAAUUAAUGGUUUCCCAAGGACAAGCUUAGUGUCCUAAAACAAGCACUGAUC
rnacentral:lncRNA from 1 species